UACGUAGGGGGCAAGCGUUGUCCGGAUUUAUUGGGUUUAAAGGGUGCGUAGGUGGUCUAUUAAGUCAGUGCUGAAAUAUCCCGGCUUAACCGGGAGGGUGGCAUUGAUACUGAUGGACUUGAGUAAAGUUGAGGUAGGCGGAAUUGACGGUGUAGCGGUGAAAUGCUUAGAUAUCGUCAAGAACACCGAUAGCGAAGGCAGCUUACUAAGCUUUAACUGACACUGAGGCACGAAAGUGUGGGGAUCAAACAGG
rnacentral:rRNA from 1 species